GACGAACGCUGGCGGCGUGCCUAAUACAUGCAAGUCGAGCGCAGGAAACUGACGGAACUCUUCGGAGGGAAGGCAGUGGAAUGAGCGGCGGACGGGUGAGUAACACGUAAGGAACCUGCCUCAAGGAUUGGGAUAACUCCGAGAAAUCGGAGCUAAUACCGGAUAGUUCAUCGGACCGCAUGGUCCGCUGAUGAAAGGCGCUCCGGCGUCACCUUGAGAUGGCCUUGCGGUGCAUUAGCUAGUUGGUGGGGUAACGGCCCACCAAGGCGACGAUGCAUAGCCGACCUGAGAGGGGGAUCGGCCACACUGGGACUGAGACACGGCCCAGAAUCCUACGGGAGGCAGCAGUAGGGAAUCUUCCACAAUGGACGAAAGUCUGAUGGAGCAACGCCGCGUGAGUGAUGAAGGUUCUCGGAUCGUAAAACUCUGUUGUAAGGGAAGAACACGUACGAGAGGGAAUGCUCGUACCUUGACGGUACCUUACGAGAAAGCCACGGCUAACUACGUGCCAGCAGCCGCGGUAA
rnacentral:rRNA from 1 species